rnacentral:siRNA from 1 species
AUGUUUCAAAAAUAUCACAAAACA